UACGUAGGGGGCGAGCGUUAAUCGGAAUUACUGGGCGUAAAGCGUGCGCAGGCGGUUCGCCAAGUCAGGUGUGAAAUCCCCGGGCUUAACCUGGGAAUUGCGCCUGAAACUAGCGGGCUUGAGUGUGGCAGAGGGGGGUGGAAUUCCACGUGUAGCAGUGAAAUGCGUAGAGAUGUGGAGGAACACCGAUGGCGAAGGCAGCGCUCUGGGUCAACACUGACGCUCAGGCACGAAAGCGUGGGGAGCAAACAGG
rnacentral:rRNA from 1 species